rnacentral:rRNA from 1 species
CCUACGGGAGGCAGCAGUGGGGAAUAUUGGACAAUGGGGGGAACCCUGAUCCAGCCAUGCCGCGUGUGUGAAGAAGGCCCUCGGGUUGUAAAGCACUUUCAGUGAGGAAGAACGCGUUGAGGUUAAUAACCAUCAGCAAAGACGUCACUCACAGAAGAAGCACCGGCUAACUCCGUGCCAGCAGCCGCGGUAAUACGGAGGGUGCGAGCGUUAAUCGGAAUUACUGGGCGUAAAGCGCACGUAGGCGGCUUGAUAAGCCGGUUGUGAAAUCCCCGGGCUCAACCUGGGAACUGCAUCCGGAACUGUCAAGCUAGAGUGCAGGAGAGGAAGGUAGAAUUCCCGGUGUAGCGGUGAAAUGCGUAGAGAUCGGGAGGAAUACCAGUGGCGAAGGCGGCCUUCUGGACUGACACUGACGCUGAGGUGCGAAAGCGUGGGUAGCAAACAGGAUUAGAUACCCUAGUAGUC